AACAAAUUGGACAAAGAUUUUUUUUAAAUUUAGAAUUUAAUUGUUGCAAUGAGUUUUGCACUUUGUUG
rnacentral:tRNA from 1 species